CGCACGCCAUUUGCUCUCGCUGUCCGCCUCUCUCGGUCCUCAUCCUAUCACCAACCUCCUCCACCAUGGUCGCCUCCGGAAGCGGCGCUGCCUUUUCCAUCUCCGAGGACCCCGGCGAUUGGGUCCGCGAAGCGCUUCUCGACCUCCGCCUCCCCGCCGAGGUUCUCCUCAGCUUUCGCCGGAGCCGCCACAGGCCCGAGGCGGAGGCCGACGAGGAAGCGGCUACGUCCACCUCCGCGGCCGAGAAGGUGCCGGACGAGUGGGGAAGGCGAAUUAAGCGGUCGCGGAUGGUGCGCCUCCCGCGGAUCGCCGAGGCGCCGCUUGAGGAAGAGCCGGCGGUGAUGAAGAGGAGGGCGAGCCCGCAGUCGCCCCUCGAUCUGUGCCGCAGCGCGUCGGCGAGCUCCGCGGAGAAGCCGGAGGUGGCGCCGAGGUCUCUGGCCCUCGCUGCCGAAGCCGUCGCCGCCGAAGCUUGCCGCAUCGAGGCUGCGGCGGCACCGUCGAUUCCGGCCUCCGCCCUCAUCCGACGGCCAGCUUUGAGGAAGAUGACAAAGCUGGAGCUGCAGGCGAUGGAACGGACGCUGCUUGAAGAAAGGGCGAAGCUUCGCAAGGGGAUAGAAGACGCGCAGAGGACCGCGGAUGCGUUGCGAGCCCAUAAUCAAAGGCUGAAGCAGUUGCGAGCGGAGCUUCCGAAGAUUGCAGCUCCUUCCCUACCCAGGCGCGAAGAUCUCAUUGCACUACCAGACCUCAACGACCCCUUACCCGAUUGUUAGGCAUGGAACCAAAAUGUAAAUACUAGAGUUAGGACUCAUGAAGAACCAGAUCGCUAACAGCAGUCAUUCAAAUUCUAGUGUUUAAUUUGAGGAGCAUUGCAUUGCUAAGCUGCACGGCUACAAUUUAUUCAACACCUGUAAAAUUUAGCUACCAAGUUUGGAUGUAAUUUAUCGCGAGAACAGAUGAACACAGUGAAUUCAUAUGUUACAAGUAGAUCAAGAACAUGUCCUUGAGACACAGAAGACGAGUACUUGGUCAUGCAGGAGUCACUUCUCUGUUUUUGAAUAUUUAUAUAUUUUAGCCAUUUAAAGUAAGUACACAUAUAUCACCUAAAGUGGAUAUUAAAUUAAUUUUAAAUAUAAAAAAUAUUUUGUAAAUACAAUAUUAAUUUGUGAAAGCAUGGUUAAACAACUAGUUAAUGGCUAUAAAAGGUAAUUGUUUUUCAUCCUGAGAGAUUUUUAUUUAUCACCG